rnacentral:rRNA from 1 species
AUUGAACGCUGGCGGCAGGCCUAACACAUGCAAGUCGAGCGAGCGGCGGACGGGUGAGUAAUGUAUGGGGACUGCCCGAUAGAGGGGGAUAACUACUGGAAACGGUAGCUAAUACCGCAUACUAUCGGAUAACCCAUAUGGGAUUAGCUAGUAGGUGGGGUAAGGGCUCACCUAGGCGAAGAUCCCUAGCUGGUCUGAGAGGAUGAUCAGCCACACUGGGACGUAGACACGGCCCCGACUCCCACGGGUGCAGCAGUUGGGAAUAUUGCACAAUGGGCGCAAGCCUGAUUCAGCCAUGCCGCGGGUAUGAAGAAGGCCCUAGGGGUGUAAAGUACUUUCAUGCGGGAGGCGUUACCGACAGAAGAAGCACCGGCUAACUCCGUGCCAACCGCCGCGGUAAUUC